rnacentral:rRNA from 1 species
UGAAAUCAACCAAGACG